CCUACGGGAGGCAGCAGUGAGGAAUAUUGGUCAAUGGGCGGGAGCCUGAACCAGCCAAGUCGCGUGAAGGAAGAAGGUACUUAGUAUUGUAAACUUCUUUUGUCGGGGAACAAAGGCGGAGACGCGUCUCCGGAUGAGUGUACCCGAAGAAAAAGCAUCGGCUAACUCCGUGCCAGCAGCCGCGGUAAUACGGAGGAUGCGAGCGUUAUCCGGAUUUAUUUGGUUUAAAGGGAGCGUAGGCCGGUCUUUAAGCGUGCCGUGAAAUUUUGUGGCUCAACCAUGAGAGUGCGGCGCGAAC
rnacentral:rRNA from 1 species